AUAUUUCUCUUUAAAAAUAACAUAAGUUUAGAUGCAAUAAAGUUCGACUUGCCCAAUUUGAAUUGAGAAGUGUCACCAGAAAUAAUUCAUUUGAUUAAAUUAGCAACUUUAUAUCAACAUUAUUAUGUUCUCAUUCUAUAUAGCCAAUUAAAAGGUUUUUAUAGACGCUUUUGGACGAAAUUCAUUAUACAUUUCGAUAACGUAAGUUUAGAGGCUAUAAAUUCGACUUCCCCAAUUUUGAAUUCAAAAGUGGCACCAAAUAUAAUUUAUUUGAUUAUAUUAUCAACUUUUUAUCAACUUUAUUACAUUUUCAUUAUUUAUAACUAACUAACAGUUUUUUGUAGACGCUUUUGGAUGAAAUUCAUUCUAUAUUUCUCUUUAAAAAUAACAUAAGUAUAGAUGCAAUAAAGUUCGACUUGCCCAUUUUGAAUUGAGAAGUGUCACCAAAUAAAAUUCAUUUGAUUAAAUUAGUAACUUUAUAUCAACAUUAUUACGUUCUCAUUCUAUAUAACCAAUUAAAAGGUUUUUACAGACGCUUUUGGUCGAAUUUCAUAAUACAUUUCGAUAACGUAAGUUUAAAAGCUAUAAAUUCGACUUCCCAAUUUUUGAAUUCAAAAGUGGCACCAAAUAUAAUUUAUUUGAUUAUAUUAGCAACUUUUUAUCAACUUUAUUACAUUUUCAUUAUUUAUAACUAACUAACAGUUUUUUCUACACGCUUUUGGAUGAAAUUCAUUCUAUAUUUCUCUUUAAAAAUAAUAUAAGUAUAGAUGCAAUAAAGUUCGACUAGCCCAAUUUGAAUAGAGAAGUGUUACCAAAUAUAAUUUAUUUGAUUAAAUUAGCAAACUUUCUAUCAACAUUAUUACGUUCUCAUUCUAUAUAGCCAAUUAAAAUGUCUUUUUAGACGCUUUUGAUCGAAAUUCAUUAUACAUUUCGAUAACGUAAGUUUAGAGGCAAUAAAUUAGACUUCCCCAAUUUUGAAUUCAAAAGUGGCACCAAAUAUAACUUAUUUGAUUAUAUUAGCAACUUUUUAUCAACUUUAUUACGUUUUCAUUAUUUAUAAUUAACUAACAGUUUUUUCUAGAUGCUUUUGGAUGAAUUUCAUUCUAUAUUUCUUUUUAAAAAUAACAUAACUUUAGAUGCAAUAAAGUUCGACUUGCCCAAUUUGAAUUGAGAAGUGUCACCAAAUAUAAUUAAUUUGAUUAAAUUAGCAACUUUAUAUCAACAUUAUUAUGUUCUCAUUCUAUAUAGCCAAUUAAAAGGUCUUUACAGACGUUUUUGGAUGAAAUUCAUUAUACAUUUCGAUAACGUAAGUUUAGAGGCUAUAAAUUCGACUUCCCCAAUUUUGAAUUCAAAAGUGGCACCAAAUAUAACUUAUUUGAUUGUAUUAACAACUUUUUAUCGAAUUUAUUACGUUUUCAUUAUUUAUAACUAACAAACAGGUUUUUCUAGACGCUUUUGGAUGAAAUUAUUUGUAUAUUUCUCUUUAAAAAUAACAUAAGUUUAGAUGCAAUAAAGUUCGACUUGCCCAAUUUGAAUUGAGAAGUGUCACCAGAAAUAAUUCAUUUGAUUAAAUUAGCAACUUUAUAUCAACAUUAUUAUGUUCUCAUUCUAUAUAGCCAAUUAAAAGGUUUUUAUAGACGCUUUUGAUCGAAUUUCAUUAUACAUUUCGAUAACGUAAGUUUAAAGGCUAUAAAUUCGACUUCCCCAAUUUUGAAUUCAAAAGUGGCACCAAAUAUAAUUAAUUUGAUUAUAUUAGCAACUUUUUAUCAACUUUAUUACGUUUUCAUUAUUUCUAACUAACUAACAGUUUUUUCUAGAUGCUUUUGGAUGAAAUUCAUUCUAUAUUUCACUUUAAAAAUAACAUAAGUAUAGAUGCAAUAAAAUUCGACUUGCCCAAUUUGAAUUGAGAAGUGGCACCAAAUAUAAUUCAUUUGAUUAAAUUAGCAAUUUUAUAUCAACAUUAUCACGUUCUCAUUCUAUAUAGCCAAUUAAAAGGGUUUUAUAGAUGUUUUUGGUCGAAUUUCAUUAUACAUUUCGAUAAUGUAAGUUUAAAGGAUAUAAAUUCGACUUCUCCAAUUUUGAAUUCAAAAGUGGCACCAAAUAUAAUUUAUUUGGUUGUAUUAGCUACUUUUUAUCAACUUUAUUAAGUUUUCAUUAUUUAUCACAAACUAACAGUUUUUUCUAGACGCUUUUGGAUGAAAUUCAUUCUAUAUUUCUCUUUAAAAAUAACAUAAGUAUAGAUGCAAUAAAGUUCGACUUGCCCAAUUUGAAUUGAGAAGUGUCACCAGAUAUAAUUCAUUUGAUUAAAUUAGCAACUUUAUAUCAACAUUAUCACGUUCUCAUUCUAUAUAGCCAAUUAAAAGGUUUUUAUAGACGCUUUUGAUCGAAUUUCAUUAUACAUUUCGAUAACGUAAGUUUAAAGAAUAUAAAUUCGACUUCCCCAAUUUUGAAUUCAAAAGCGGCACCAAAUAUAAUUAAUUUG
rnacentral:lncRNA from 1 species